AUUGAACGCUGGCGGCAGGCCUAACACAUGCAAGUCGAGCGGAAGAAGGGAGCUUGCUCCUGGAUUCAGCGGCGGACGGGUGAGUAAUGCCUAGGAAUCUGCCCGGUAGUGGGGGAUAACGUCCGGAAACGGGCGCUAAUACCGCAUACGUCCUGAGGGAGAAAGUGGGGGAUCUUCGGACCUCACGCUAUCAGAUGAGCCUAGGUCGGAUUAGCUAGUUGGUGGGGUAAAGGCCUACCAAGGCGACGAUCCGUAACUGGUCUGAGAGGAUGAUCAGUCACACUGGAACUGAGACACGGUCCAGACUCCUACGGGAGGCAGCAGUGGGGAAUAUUGGGCAAUGGGCGAAAGCCUGAUCCAGCCAUGCCGCGUGUGUGAAGAAGGUCUUCGGAUUGUAAAGCUCUUUAAGUUGGGAGGAAGGGCUGUAGGUUGAUACCUUGCUGUUUUGACGUUACCAACAGAAUAAGCACCGGCUAACUUCGUG
rnacentral:rRNA from 1 species